rnacentral:rRNA from 1 species
GAUGAACGCUGGCGGCGUGCCUAAUACAUGCAAGUCGAGCGAACAGACGAGGAGCUUGCUCCUCUGACGUUAGCGGCGGACGGGUGAGUAACACUUGGAUAACCUACCUAUAAGACUGGGAUAACUUCGGGAAACCGGAGCUAAUACCGGAUAAUAUAUUGAACCGCAUGGUUCAAUAGUGAAAGACGGUUUUGCUGUCACUUAUAGAUGGAUCCGCGCCGCAUUAGCUAGUUGGUAAGGUAACGGCUUACCCAGGCAACGAUGCGUAGCCGACCUGAGAGGGUGAUCGGCCACACUGGAACUGAGAAACGGUCCAGACUCCUACGGGAGGCAGCAGUAGGGAAUCUUCCGCAAUGGGCGAAAGCCUGACGGAGCAACGCCGCGUGAGUGAUGAAGGUCUUCGGAUCGGAAAACUCUGUUAUUAGGGAAGAACAAAUGUGUAAGUAACUAUGCACGUCUUGACGGUACCUAAUCAGAAAGCCACGGCUAACUACGUG